rnacentral:sRNA from 1 species
GAUUUGUGUGGAGGUGAGACGAGAAC